rnacentral:rRNA from 1 species
CCUACGGGAGGCAGCAGUGAGGAAUAUUGGUCAAUGGACGAGAGUCUGAACCAGCCAAGUAGCGUGAAGGAUGACUGCCCUAUGGGUUGUAAACUUCUUUUAUAUGGGAAUAAAAUGUUCCACGUGUGGGAUUUUGUAUGUACCAUAUGAAUAAGGAUCGGCUAACUCCGUGCCAGCAGCCGCGGUAAUACGGAGGAUCCGAGCGUUAUCCGGAGUUAUUGGGUUUAAAGGGAGCGUAGGUGGAUUGUUAAGUCAGUUGUGAAAGUUUGCGGCUCAACCGUAAAAUGGCAGUUGAAACUGGCAGUCUUGAGUACAGUAGAGGUGGGCGGAAUGCGUGGGGUAGCGGUGAAAUGCUUAGAUAUCACGAAGAACUCCGAUUGCGAAGGCAGUUCACUGGACUGCAACUGACACUGAGGCUCGAAAGUGUGGGUAUCAAACAGGAUUAGAUACCCUGGUAGUC